GGCGAGGAGUGAUUAGACGUGACAUGGAACAGUUACAGCUUACUGAGGACAUGACCCUAGAUAGGAAGGUUUGGAGGAAGAGUAUUAAACUAGAAGGCUAAGGUGGGUGGUCGAGUCGUAGUCCGUAGUUAGGAGGUUUAAGGAUAGCUUGGUUGGGAGUUCCAGUUAUGGGGGAGGGGGUCCUUGGGUUGUUAAUUAUACUGUUUUUUUUGUGAAUGUUGGUUCUUUUGUUACUUUAGCAUAUUGCUUGCCUUUUGGUUAAGUAUACUUUAUUUUUGUGGAU
rnacentral:lncRNA from 1 species